CAUUAAAACACUAGUUCCCGUACGAUCACCGAAAUUAAGCAACGUCGAGCCUGGUCAGUAUCUUGAUGAGUGACCGUUUGUGAAUACCAG